UACAGAGGGGGCAAGCGUUGUUCGGAAUUACUGGGCGUAAAGGGCGCGUAGGCGGCCUGUUAAGUCGGACGUGAAAUCCCCGGGCUCAACCCGGGAACUGCGUCCGAUACUGGCAGGCUUGAAUCCGGGAGAGGGAUGUGGAAUUCCAGGUGUAGCGGUGAAAUGCGUAGAGAUCAGGAGGAACACCGGUGGCGAAGGCGGCCUACUGGGCCAGCACUGACGCUGAGGCGCGAAAGCUCGGGGAGCGAACGGG
rnacentral:rRNA from 1 species